CAUUCAUUCAGCAUGGCAGCUGGGUGCUGGAAGAGAGAAUUCCAAGAGGACCAGUCCCGAAACGCAGACUCUUACAGGGUAGACCCUGAGGCUGGGUGAAAAGUCCACAGCCAGUGGUGCUUCCAGGAACGGGGAAAGUGCCUCAGAACAAGAUCAUGUGAGAUGAGGUCAUCUACCAUCAGACCAUCCUAAAGCGAGUUCUGCGAGAGGAGGUCAAAAUGGUGAGGGAUGCCAACAAGAGGCUGUCUAUUGUGCGAGAUUUAACCAAAACAGCCUGUCUUAAGUAGGUCUGCAGUGGACGGUAAUGUAUAUCUUGAGUUCUUUUUACUUGGAAUAGUGCCUAAGAACGCGGGUCCUGGAGCCAGCCUGCAGGUUAGGACUCAGUUUCGUCACCAACACCGCGGUCAUGCUGAACAAGUUACACAAUCUCUGUGCCUCAAAUUGUUUACCUGUAAAGCAGGCACGCCACAUUCAUUAAUUCCACAAACAUGACCCAAGACACUUGGCUGCCAGGCACUGUGCCUGACAGACGACAGCGUGGACCAUUUUGGGGA